rnacentral:rRNA from 1 species
UGUGUAGGUGGUGUGUUUAGUCUUUUGUUAAAGCUCGGGGCUCAACUCCGAAAAAGCAAAAGAAACGGGCAUACUUGAGAGUGCGAGAGGUUUAUGGAACUCAUGGAGUAGGGGUGAAAUCCGUUGAUAUCAUGGGGAACACCAAAAGCGAAGGCAAUAAACUGGCGCAUUUCUGACACUGAAACACGAAAGCGUGGGUAGUGAACG